rnacentral:rRNA from 1 species
GUCUAUGGCUACCCUGAACAAGCCUGAUACUUUCUGAUCUCGGAAGCUAAGCAGGGUCAGGCCUGGUUAGUACUUGGAUGGGAGACCACCUAGGAAGACCAGGUGCUAUAGGUG